AAGCUGGACAUGCGUCUGAUUAGUUAGUUGGCGGGGUAAUGGCUCACCAAGACGAUGAUCAGUAGGGGUUCUGAGAGGAAGGUCCCCCACACUGGUACUGAGAUACGGACCAGACUCCUACGGGAGGCAGCAGUAGGGAAUAUUGGGCAAUGGAAGGAAUUCUGACCCAGCCAUGCCGCGUGCAGGAUGAAGGCGCUAAGCGUUGUAAACUGCUUUUAUCAGGGAAGAAAAAGCGGGUGCGCCCGAAAUUGACGGUACCUGGUGAAUAAGCAUCGGCUAACUCCGUGCCAGCAGCCGCGGUAAUACGGGGGAUGCGAGCGUUGUCCGGAUUUAUUGGGUUUAAAGGGUGCGUAGGUGGUUUUAUAAGUCAGUGGUUAAAUUAAGCAGCUCAACUGUUUACAUGCCAUUGAUACUGUGAGACUUGAGACUUGAGGGGGUAAGCGGAAUUGGUAGUGUAGCGGUGAAAUGCAUAGAUACUACCAGGAAUAUCGAUAGCGAAGGCAGCUUACUACACAAGGACUGACACUGAGGCACGAAAGCGUGGGGAUCAAACAGGAUUAGAUACCCUGGUAGUCCACGCCGUAAACGAUGAUAACUCGUUGUUGAUGUUCGCAUCAGUGACUAAGGGAAACCGAUAAGUUAUCCACCUGGGGAGUACGGUCGCAAGACUGAAACUUAAAUGAAUUGACGG
rnacentral:rRNA from 1 species